UACAGAGGUCUCAAGCGUUGUUCGGAUUCAUUGGGCGUAAAGGGUGCGUAGGCGGCGCGGUAAGUCGGGUGUGAAAUCUUGGAGCUUAACUCCGAAACUGCAUUCGAUACUGCCGUGCUUGAGGACUGGAGAGGAGACUGGAAUUUACGGUGUAGCGGUGAAAUGCGUAGUUAUCGUAAGGAAGACCAGUGGCGAAGGCGGGUCUCUGGACAGUUCCUGACGCUGAGGAGCGAAAGCAUGGGGAGCGAACAGG
rnacentral:rRNA from 1 species